UGCGUUGAGUCUCUUAUUUUAAAAGCUGUUCGUCUGAACUCCAUCAGUGAGUGUGUCUUACUGCCGCUGGCUUCACUCGCCUCGGUUCGCCUGAUUAUUUUUACGCCGUCGAGGCUGGCGGUGAAAUCCAGGUCAUCUCCGCCGGAUCACCUGCCAACACGACUCAGGCUUCUGCUCUCCGCGGACUCAGAGUGCCGUUUCCUGAUCCCACUCUGCAGAGUGAGCUUGCGGUCUGAAGGAUGAGGUGGGGCACAUUGAUUAGCACGCUGCUACGCUGAGAAGAGUUUAUCCACCCAGGACGAGCGGCAGCAACUACACAUUCCCUUCCUGAAUCAGCUAUCAAACACCUUCUCUGAAUCAAGUACCUGUCUGGAUCUUUCCUCGCUCGCUCACACACAGCUAUGGCUGGCUGGCUCUGGCUGGGAGGGUAAUCAGUGCUCUGGUUGCCCUGGCAACCCCGCCCUGAAUUCUACUGAAUAGAGCCCUAGUCUGUCACUAAAGACUUUUUAGCCCCCCCUCCACCUUCUUAGUUUAUUUGCCCUUUCGUGAAGGUAGAGGGCAGCGGCUGGAGCAGGAGCCAUGGACUUAUGAGGUGAGGAUGGCAGCACGGUGGCUGUUUGGCCCCCAGGAGCCCUCAGGCAAUUGGAGCCAAUAACGUGGGUGCACACACAAACAUACGGGCCGAGCGGCAGGAGCAGUAUGCAGGAGGCUGACCUACCGGCCACCAAUGCUUUUACAGAGUGCAGAUUCCUGUGCACUAAUGGCAGAUGUCUGAACCUGGGCUCGCAGGUCUGUGAUCAACUCAACCACUGUGGAGACAACAGUGAUGAGGAGCACUGUCCCAUCUCCACCCAGCAUCCUGCAUCUGCCGUCUUCAGCUGUGAGUCCAUCUCUCUAACACUGCUGCUUCAGACUCAGAUCUGUGUCUGUGUUCUGGUUCUGAUGAAGUCAGCAGGAUGUUUUCUUGCUUCUCAUUGGUCAGUUCUCAUCUGAAUUCCUGAGA